rnacentral:rRNA from 1 species
CCUACGGGAGGCAGCAGUGGGGAAUAUUGCGCAAUGGGCGAAAGCCUGACGCAGCGACGCCGCGUGAGGGAUGAAGGUCUUCGGAUCGUAAACCUCUGUCAGCAGGGAAGAACAGUCACUGUGCUAAUCAGCAGUGAAUUGACGGUACCUGCAAAGGAAGCACCGGCUAACUCCGUGCCAGCAGCCGCGGUAAUACGGAGGGUGCUAGCGUUAAUCGGAAUUGCUGGGCGUAAAGCGCUCGUAGGCGGUAUGUCAAGUCAAGGGUGAAAUCCCCGCGCUCAACGUGGGAACUGCCUUUGAAACUGGUCAACUUGAGGGUGUGAGAGGAUAGGGGAAUUCCAGGUGUAGGAGUGAAAUCCGGAGAUAUC